rnacentral:rRNA from 1 species
AAUUGGGGGCUGGAAUGAAAGGUUUUAUGGAAAAUAGCUGUUUUAAAAGAAAAAUUUGAAUUUAAGCUCUUCAUAAAAACUUGAAGGGGGGCUCAAGGGACGAGAAGACCCUGUGGAUUUUUAUUUAUUAAAAAAUAGAUUUUAUAACAUUCUAUUUUUUACUUAAAUUUGGUUGGGACGACAGUAAAGUUAACUUUAUUAAUAAUAUAAUUACGACCCUUUUUAAGGGAGAAAGAACAAAUUACCCCAGGGAUAACAGCGUAAUACUUUUGGACAGGACAAAUGGAUAAAAGUGUUUGCGACCUCA